rnacentral:rRNA from 1 species
GAGCGGUAGCACGGGGGAGCUUGCUCCCUGGGUGACGAGCGGCGGACGGGUGAGUAAUGUCUGGGAAACUGCCUGAUGGAGGGGGAUAACUACUGGAAACGGUAGCUAAUACCGCAUAACGUCGCAAGACCAAAGAGGGGGACCUUCGGGCCUCUUGCCAUCAGAUGUGCCCAGAUGGGAUUAGCUAGUAGGUGGGGUAAUGGCUCACCUAGGCGACGAUCCCUAGCUGGUCUGAGAGGAUGACCAGCCACACUGGAACUGAGACACGGUCCAGACUCCUACGGGAGGCAGCAGUGGGGAAUAUUGCACAAUGGGCGCAAGCCUGAUGCAGCCAUGCCGCGUGUGUGAAGAAGGCCUUCGGGUUGUAAAGCACUUUCAGCGAGGAGGAAGGUGGUGAGCUUAAUACGCUCAUCAAUUGACGUUACUCGCAGAAGAAGCACCGGCUAACUCCGUGCCAGCAGCCGCGGUAAUACGGAGGGUGCAAGCGUUAAUCGGAAUUACUGGGCGUAAAGCGCACGCAGGCGGUUUGUUAAGUCAGAUGUGAAAUCCCCGGGCUCAACCUGGGAACUGCAUUUGAAACUGGCAAGCUAGAGUCUCGUAGAGGGGGGUAGAAUUCCAGGUGUAGCGGUGAAAUGCGUAGAGAUCUGGAGGAAUACCGGUGGCGAAGGCGGCCCCCUGGACG